GAUGAACGCUAGCGGAAGGCCUAAUACAUGCAAGUCGAACGGAUAUAUUUACUUCGGUGAAUAUGUUAGUGGCGCACGGGUGAGUAACGCGUACACAACCUACCUUACAUUGGGGGAUAGCCCUGGGAAACUGGGAGUAAUACCGCAUAAUAUUAUUUGAAGGCAUCUUUGGAUAAUUAAAGCUGAGGCGAUGUAAGAUGGGUGUGCGUCUGAUUAGGUAGUUGGUAGGGUAACGGCCUACCAAGCCGACGAUCAGUAGGGGGUGUGAGAGCAUGGCCCCCCCACACGGGUACUGAGACACGGACCCGACUCCUACGGGAGGCAGCAGUAAGGAAUAUUGGUCAAUGGUGGGAACACUGAA
rnacentral:rRNA from 1 species